rnacentral:rRNA from 1 species
AGUCGAGCGGUACAUAUCUAGCUUGCUAGAUGCUGACGAGAGGAGGCCCGUUGAGUAACGCGUAUGAACCUGACCAGUAGUGGGGGAUAGCCCGGUGAAAACCGGAUUAAUACCGCAUACGCUCUACGGAGGAAAGGGGGCUUCGGCUCUCGCUAUUGGAUGGGCCUGCGUGAGAUUAGCUAGUUGGUGAGGUAAUGGCUCACCAAGGCGACGAUCUCUACCUGGUCUGAGAGGAUGAUCAGCCACACUGGGACUGAGACACGGCCCAGACUCCUACGGGAGGCAGCAGUGGGGAAUAUUGCACAAUGGGGGAAACCCUGAUGCAGCCAUGCCGCGUGUGUGAAGAAGGCUUUCGGGUAGAAAAACACUUUCCGUUGGGAGGAAAAGUCAGUCGCUAAUAUCGGCUAGCCUUGACGUUAGCAACAGAAGAAGCACCGGCUAACUCAGUGCCAGCAGCCGCGGUAAUACUGAGGGUGCAAGCGUUAAUCGAAAUUACUGGGCGUAAAGCGCGCGUAGGCUGCUUAUUAAUCCAGAUGUGAAAGCCCCGGGCUCAACCUGGGAACUGCAUUUGGAACUGAUUCGCUAGAGUACAGUAGAGGGUGGUGGAAUUUCCAGUGUAUCGGUGAAAUGCUUAGAGAUUGGAAGGAAAAUCAGUGGCGAAGGCGGCCCCCUGGACUGAUACUGACGCUGAAGUGCGAAAGCGUGGUGAGCAAAACGGAUUAGAUUCCCUGGUGGUUCCACGCCGCAACAAAUAUUUACUACCCCUUGGGAAACUUGGAUUCUUAAGGGAGAACCU